AGCGAUGAAACUUUAACAGAACCCUUCGGGGCGAAGAUAAAGUGGAUUAGCGGCGGACGGGUGAGUAACACGUGAGUAACCUGCCUUAGACAUUGGGAUAGCCUCGGGAAACCGGGAUUAAUACCAAAUAAAACCAUAAUGACACAUGUCAUAACGAUCAAAACUCCGGUGGUCUAAGAUGGACUCGCGUCCCAUUAGCUAGUUGGUAGAGUAAAAGCCUACCAAGGCGACGAUGGGUAGCCGGCCUGAGAGGGUGAACGGCCACAUUGGAACUGAGAAACGGUCCAAACUCCUACGGGAGGCAGCAGUGGGGAAUAUUGCACAAUGGAGGGAACUCUGAUGCAGCGACGCCGCGUGAACGAAGAAGGCUUUCGAGUCGUAAAGUUCUUUUAUAUGGGAAGAUAAUGACGGUACCAUAAGAAAAAGCCCCGGCUAACUACGUGCCAGCAGCCGCGGUAAUACGUAGGGGGCUAGCGUUGUCCGGAAUCACUGGGCGUAAAGGGUUCGCAGGCGGAAAUGCAAGUCAGAUGUAAAAGGCAGUAGCUUAACUACUGUAAGCAUUUGAAACUGCAUAUCUUGAGAAGAGUAGAGGUAAGUGGAAUUUUUAGUGUAGCGGUGAAAUGCGUAGAUAUUAAAAAGAAUACCGGUGGCGAAGGCGACUUGCUGGGCUCAUUCUGACGCUGAGGAACGAAAGCGUGGGUAGCAAACAGGAUUAGAUACCCUGGU
rnacentral:rRNA from 1 species